rnacentral:rRNA from 1 species
UACAGAGGUCUCAAGCGUUGUUCGGAUUCAUUGGCGUAAAGGGUGCGUAGGCGGCGCGGUAAGUCGGGUGUGAAAUCUUGGAGCUUAACUCCGAACUGCAUUCGAUACUGCCGUGCUUGAGGACUGGAGAGGAGACUGGAAUUUACGGUGUAGCGGUGAAAUGCGUAGAUAUCGGAAGGAACACCUGUGGCGAAAGCGGCUCACUGGACCAUAACUGACGCUGAUGCACGAAAGCUAGGGAGCAAACAG